CCCCACCCCCUUUUUCAUCUCUUCUCCCACUUGUUAUCCAUUUCACUCAAGAUCCUAUCAAUUUUCCAAGAGAUUGUUGAAGAACCAAGGUUUUAAUUGCUUCCUACCGAUUAUUUCGUCCAAGAAAAGGUGAAAUUUUGUGCGAGACGCGUGAUACCAAAGGAAAAGCGAAACUUGAAAACUAAAGGAUCGAGGUUGAGCGGCGACGGGCGGUUGGCGGUGUUGAGCAGGAACUAAUAAUGAACUGUGGUUGUUUUGGUUUUGAAAUUUCGAGUGUCGUUGUGUCUUCACACAUGACGUCACUCUUCUCUUGGAUGCUUCCGCUGUGAUAUUUUUCUUAGAAUACUUUUCAUUUAAAUUCUGAAACUAUUUUAUGAUGGGAUGUUUGAAACUCGUUACACUUUUUGAAUAAAUGCUAAACCCUAGUCUUUAUUCAUUAAA